rnacentral:rRNA from 1 species
GACGAACGCUGGCGGCGUGCCUAAUACAUGCAAGUAGAACGCACAGUUUAUACCGUAGCUUGCUACACCAUAGACUGUGAGUUGCGAACGGGUGAGUAACGCGUAGGUAACCUGCCUGGUAGCGGGGGAUAACUAUUGGAAACGAUAGCUAAUACCGCAUAAUAUUGAUUAUUGCAUGAUAAUUGAUUGAAAGAUGCUAUUGCAUCACUACCAGAUGGACCUGCGUUGUAUUAGCUAGUAGGUGAGGUAACGGCUCACCUAGGCGACGAUACAUAGCCGACCUGAGAGGGUGAUCGGCCACACUAGGACUGAGACACGGCCCAGACUCCUACGGGAGGCAGCAGUAGGGAAUCUUCGGCAAUGGACGAAAGUCUGACCGAGCAACGCCGCGUGAGUGAAGAAGGUUUUCGGAUCGUAAAGCUCUGUUGUAAGAGAAGAACGGGUGUGAGAGUGGAAAGUUCACACUGUGACGGUAUCUUACCAGAAAGGGACGGCUAACUACGUG